CAGUGUAUAUAUUGACAGUUGGGGGGGAAGGCACAAACAGAUGUGCAUAUCUCUCCAUCAGUGUUAUUGAGGGUGGACAACUUAUGCGUUUAUCCCGUAUAAGCAUUAUACAGAGUAAAAUAUAUUUAUUUGGGGUUUGAA